AGUGAACGCUGGCGGUAGGCCUAACACAUGCAAGUCGAACGGCAGCACAGUAAGAGCUUGCUCUUACGGGUGGCGAGUGGCGGACGGGUGAGGAAUACAUCGGAAUCUACUUUUUCGGAGAGCAUAACGUAGGGAAGCUUACUCUAAUACCGCAUACGACCUACGGUUGAAAGCAGGGGAUCUUCGGACCUUGCGCGAUUGAAUGAGCCGAUGUCGGAUUAGCUAGUUGGCGGGGUAAAGGCCCACCAAGGCGACGAUCCGUAGCUGGACUGAGAGGAUGGUCAGCCACACUGGAACGGAGACACGGUCCAGACUCCUACGGGAGGCAGCAGUGGGGAAUAUUGGACAACGGGCGCAAGCCUGAUACAGCCAUACCACGUGGGUGACGAAGGCCUUCGGGUUGUAAAGCCCUUUUGUUGGGAAAAAAAAGCAUCCGGUUAAUACCCCGCUGUUCUGACGGUACCCAAUAAAUAAGCACCGGCUAACUUCGUG
rnacentral:rRNA from 1 species